UAGGGUUUAGAGUUAAGGGGUGGGGUUUAGGAUUUAGGAUUUAGAGUUUAGGGUUUAGGGUUUAGGGUUUAGGGUUUAGAGUUUAGGGGUGGAGUUUAGGGUUUAGGGUUUAGAGUUAAGGGGUGGGUUUUAGGAUUUAGGGUUUAAGUUUUAGGAUUUAGGUUUUAAGGUUUAGGGUUUAGGGUUUAGAUUUUAGGGUUUAGAGUUUAGAGUUUAGAGUUUAGGGUUUAGGGUUUAGGUUUUAGGGUUUAGAGUUGGGGAGUGGGGUUUUGGGAUAAGAUUUCAAAUUUUGAAAAAUAAAAAAAAAUUAAAUUUUUCAAACGAUAAAAUGCUAUUUUGGUCAUUUUAGUUUUUGAUAGCUAUUUUUGUGACAUAAACUUAGAAAUGUGCUAUUUUGGAGAUUUGCCUUUUUAAAAAUUCUAUAAUAUAGUUGACACCAUUAACCGCCAUAACCAUCUCAUUGAAAAACGUUUCAGCUACCGAUUUUAGACCGCGAAUCUCCUCAUCCAAAUCUUCGUUCACCCACCUUAACACGGCGCCUCUGUAACCACCAUGAUUUCAGUGUUAUAAUGAGUUUUGAUCGUCUGCUUGAGAUCACGAAUCUCCUUCACUUUGGCAAGACACUUGUCUUUCUUUUCCAACAACUAACAGUUCAACACAUCCAUUUCUUCAUCGCCGGCAGCCUGGGCCUCAACACUCAUCCAGUCUCUAAAGUAAUAGAGCUGAUACAUGACCUACAACAAGAAGACAAAGGCUUAGACAGAACAUUUGAACUACUAAAAGAAUGGUGACGUUUUAUAAUUACCCUGAAAAGAUCACAAUGGACGCUUUGGACCCCAAAUACCUCCCAACAAAGGGACUUUGUCUUGAGCAAACACUUUGACGUGUAGGUUUGUUAAAACCUUCGAAAAACUAGCAUGAGGACAGGAACUAUCAAGGGAUUGCUUUGCAAACCUGGUGGUAAUCCAUGUAGCAUUCGCCUUCUUCCCUUUAAUGGCAUAAGGUAGUUCUGUCUUCACAACGGUUCUGUGGUUGACCCCUGCCAAACUCCCAAUGAUCAUUACUUCAUCCUCAUAAACUGUUAUGCUAGAAGAUCCAUUCUUGACAUCGCUUGAUAGGCCUUUUUUAGAGCCAAUGCAUUAAUUCUUGUGCUUCCAACAUGUUUCCUGAACAGAUGACACCAUCAGAGAAGUGAGGAGUCAAUGAUAAUUGAGGACCGCUUUUGGCCAUAUUUCUCUUCUUCCAAUUCUUCCUCUUCUUUCCCCCAGACUUGUCUGUUUCUGUCUCUGUGUGCUGAGAUAACCGACAGGUGUCGAUUGACAAUGAAGUGGUAGUGUCGAUCGAUACUGGUAUACCUUUCUCACAUCAUCUUCUAGAACUUAUUUUUCCUCAGAAACAUCUCCAUGCAGAGGAUCGAUCGUCUACUAUCCCAGUGUUUAGAUCUAGAUGCAUACUUAUGUCAGCUGGACUAGGCGAUCCAACUUCAAAAAUAGCGCAGAGAACCUCAACAGUGUCGUUUGACACGGGGUAAACAGUGUCAUUCGACACUUGGAUAUCUACGCUGCCAAUCGCUGCUUGGAGGGUGUCGACUGCCCUCUUAGACUUAUGGAUCGUGCGUGAAUCAGUAGGAUCCUUCUUUGAAGAACCCAAAAAAACUUCUUCCCAUUGCUUCCUGGUACUGAUAUGUAUGUACAUGAAACACAAGAAAAAACAAUUUAUGUAAGUAAACUACACAUAGAAAAAUAACCUAGACUAAAUCAAACAAAUUGAGUCUAAUGGCAAUUCAUGCUCCCCGGAAACGGCGCCAAAUUUGAUAUCACUCAAAUUACCCUAAGGAGUGACUUUUACUCUUUCAAAUAAGAAGUUUAUUUGUAGUACUUAGGGAUCAAAUCCACAGGGAGCGUGGUCACACAACAGACUGAAGACAGUCACGAUUAAGCUAGGCAAAUAAGUAUUAAAGCAGUAAAUAAAGCCGUAAAUAAGUUGAAGAUUAAAAUAGAUUGAUUGAUGAGUUCUUUGAUGGAAGGAUGGUUGCUAGACUAGGGUUUUAUUCAGGUUAUCAGAACUCAAUCUAUAGAUGGUAAGGGUUGAUCCUAGAACUCAAAUUCAUAUAAGUAAGUAAAUCAGCUCUCGCAUGCGCUUACUAAUCAGAUGUCUAAGUCCUAUGUUCCAGCUGUCGCAUGCGAACAAGGAGCGAGCCUCGAUCGAUGCUAUGGUAAUAGCGUCGAUCGAUGCUUCUUUAGACAAGCAUUAAUGACCUAAUCGAUAUGUUCACUAGGUUAACUAAAUCAGCAUUCGCGUGCGCCAAACAACCUAGCUCAGCAGAAUUAUUAUCAGGUAAGGAACGUACUGUCGUAGUUGUCUAUAAUCCUAAGAUCAGGGUUCAAGUUAGCUACUCUAGAACACAUGUAAUAAGUCCAAUUCAGUGAAGGAUUCAAUUAUCACCCUAGAAAUUCUCUAUCUCAGAAGAACAUCAAAACCCUAGAAAACCUAGAUCUAACAGAUAGAUCUACUCAAACAUGAUAGUUGUCACAAAAAAUCUUAGAUGAAUAGAUAUAAAACUGGAAAUCAAAAUAAAUAUCAAAGCCAAACCUAAAGGGGUUCCAGGAGGACUCGUAAGAAGUUCUUCCUUUCUCUCCUAACCUAAUUAAUAUGAAUAAAAUAAAGCGUAGCCGUCAACAAUGGCUUAGAAAACACAUAAAUAGGAUGGAUUUUAUGUCAUCCAAAGGCUUUCUGGUAAUUUGUGGUCACUUCUGGGCUUAAGACGAUCAUGAAAUAGGCUCGGUCUGUCUUCUGGCAUCACCAUCGAUCGACACCAAGGCUGUAUCAUCGAUCGACAUUCCUUCAUAUCUUCGACCGCUUGCUCUCGCGAGGCAGACAAACAACUCUUCAGUAAAACAGGCAUAACAUCUGCUAUAGGAUUCUGAUUGACCUUAAACUCGUGGCUUUGAAAAACUAACUCAAAGCUAUAUUUUCUAUCAAAAUAUGGGCUAAAUCCAAUUGUGGGAAGCUCUCCAUCCAUAGUUAAACUUCUGGCACAUCUGUGCAGUUCUGCACCCCAAGAGGCCCUAGAAUCACCAAAGUUCUCUAAAACGUACCUGAACUUGAAAACACUCUAAAACAUACUCCAAAAUCAUAUAAUAGACUCUAAAAAAAUCAUAUACCCAUGGCAUAAAAGUGUUAAAAUCCAUGGUAUAUCAGUAGAAUUUCUAGUUUGGGAUAUAUCUUAUCAAGUUUCUCGUCUCAGUGGUAUCAGAGCAUAUAAAUCUUUUAGGACCGAGCAAUGGACACCAGAAAAACCACCAUGAUGAUCGAGAUGAACAAACAAAUAGAGGAUCUUCGUCCAUCACAAACACAGCAAACCGAAGUAAUUCAAAAAGAAUUAAGAGGAAAAAUCGAUGAGCUUAAAGCGAUGAUGGAAAAAUAUUUUGCUAAUACUCCACCACCUACCAUGCAACAUGAAGGAUCUUCCGGUCUAACGUCUGCAGAAAAAUCUAAUGAACUAGACCCACUAGAUCGCGCCCUUGGAAAGUAGAGUACAGAAAAAACAAGUCAAAUCAAUCUCGAUCAAACCCUAACUACCUCUCCAUAACAGUCUUUCGUAAUGGCUAAGAAAGAUUGUAAUCCCGAUGUUUGAUGGAUAAGUACUUCGAGAAUGGAUUUACCGUUGUGAACAGUUCUUCUCGAUUGAUAGUACACCACCAUAAUUGAAGGUUCGUCUCGCCUCUCUUCAUAUGAUAGGCAAAGCUCUUCAAUGGCAAAACGCCUACAUUGCAAAUCGCUACAACAUAUUCCCGCUAUGGCCAGAAUAUGUCACCGCCAUAUCUGAACGCUUCAGCGAGCUUUAUGACGAACAUCUUUCGGAUUUAAUUAGUCUGAAACAAGAAAAUGAUUCCAUUGACAUCUAUCUGCAAAAGUUCGAUUGCGCUAUGACAAGGCUCACACUUCCUCCGGAACACGCGCUGAGCAUCUUCUUAACCAGCAUGAACCAACACCUCGCCCUCCAUGUUCGACAAUUUAACGUGACUAUUGUCACUACAGCAGCACGAAUUGCUAAACUUCACGAGCUCUCUCUUCAUCAUACUCCUACAAAGCCAUCGCUCUUCUUUCAACCCCUACCAGGAGAAAAAUUCACCGCCUCCAUACAAAACUCAACACGCUACAAACACACCAGCAACACCUAACACAAAACUCCUCCUCCCAAGUACAAAUAAAAAUGCCUCACAUUCAAAGAGAUGCAUGAAAGAAAACGUAAGGGUUUAUGUAUGUUUUGCGAAGAACCAUUCACGCCUUGUCAUUAGAUUAAGCACUGGCGUUCUGAGUUCUUGUUUAUGGAAGCUGAUCAGACAUAAUUUGAUGAAGAAAUCACGCUAGAAGAACAAAUACGAGAAACAACCAUUAGCGAUCAAGAUGUCAAGGUCCCUGUAGAACCUAAAAUCUACACAAAGUAUUUGAUAGUGAUCGGGGUUUGAUCUAGGGAAGACAAAUGAUGUAGGAAACGAUAUCUUUAGAACACAACGAUGUUAAGUAGUUUCCAGCAAGUGAAAAUGGAUUUUAUUGAUGACUAAGAUCGAAUACAAUGAAUUGAACUAGAUCGAGUGAUACAAAUGAGAUCGGUAAAGAAAGAAUCUAAAAGUGGGAAGACAACAAGAUCGAUGUGAAUGUGUCGCUCUCUCUAGGGUUUUCAACGUCUCCUCUUCUGCUUCCAUUUCUCUUCCUUUAUAGUAAGCUGACUUUGAGACCUCUGUGGUAGCUCCACGAUCUCAGCUUCUUGUUGCGCGAUCUCCGUGACCUCGAUGACUCCUUCUCGAGCUUGUAUCCUUGCUAUGGGCUCCGGCCCUUUAAGGCCCAGGCCUUUGAACGCGGCACAUCAUGGUAUUGGCCAAAAUUGGGUCCAACAUUUGUCCCCCAGCCGCUUUUGAUUUGAUCGAAAAGGAAAAGGAGCGGUUGUCUUUUGAUCCGGGUCUUCUCGUUUGAUAACCGAUAUCGCUCGGAUCCAGUUUUAAUGAUCGUUUUCAAAAAAAAACGUUCGUUGGCACGUUUUUUUAUUAUUAUUUUAAUCGGUAACGGUUACUUUAGCCGCCGUUAGGGCAUAGGCUAGGUCAUAAUUGCUUUUCUCGAUAGCAAUGAUAGAGCCGUUAAGGUGGCUUAUAUAUACGUAGAGGAUCUUCUUUUUGCCUCAAUCUCGUUUCUUCUUUCUAGUUUCUUUCCUCUGCUCCAAAACUUUUUGUCGAGCUUAAGAUGUCCUCGUCGUUCAAUUUCCCUCGUCCGACUACCGAGGCUGAUGAUCUCGACAACCUUUACAAGGCGUACGGGGUCGAUCGUGCCGUCAUUCUUGAUUUGGCCGGUACGAAUGAGACUCCCGAAACCGUGAGAGAAAGCUACUACGGAGCCCAUCUUUCCUUCUUUCAUUCUUGCGGUCUUACCUUCCCGAUCCCGGAGCCAAUACUAGAGGUCCUAGCAGAGCUUGGGUUAUCGCUUACCCAGCUUCUCCCGAAUUUUCUUAGGCAUCUUGUCGCCUUCUUGGUUAAGGCCAGGGAGGAGGUUCUUGCUUUUGGUCUUAGUGAGUUUCGUCAGCUCGUUCUGGUGAAGCGGAAUAAGCAGAACCCUGGUACUUUCCUCGUGUCUCCGCGCCCAGGUCGCCACAUCAUCGAGGACAUCCCUUAUCGCGACGAGAAGUGGUGCUAGCAAUUUUUCGUUUUCAAGAUGGAUCGAGCAUCUAUGGGUGACUUUGAUUUCUCCCAGCUUCCCUGGCGUUGGGCUGAGAAUAUCGGUUAGUUUCCUUUUGCCUAUGUGCUGAUGAUUUCUUUGUUUGGGGAGUCAAAGAUUAAAACUUUCAUUUAUUUUCGUUUGAUUUAGUUCCUUCUGGUCUAAUGUCGGAUGAGAUCCGCGAUCUGAUGAGGGCCGUUUAGAGAGGUCGUUCGAACUGGUCUACUUUUGAAUGAACUCGGAUUCAAACUGUCCUCGCCUUGCCGGCGGGGACAAAUAGAGCUCCUUCGGCCGAGGGGUCUGAAGGCGAGACCGAUCAUUCCUAGGAGGUCGUAGUGACUCCUUCUGUUCAGACUCAGUCUUCAGAUCGGCUUCCUAGGGAGCUUGUGAGAAGAUCGUCAUUUUGAACUUCUGGGUUUGCAUCGAGGGGCCGAUUUACCGGAAAAUUUCCCUUGAUCUCGAUUCACGAUUCCGACGAUGAAGAUGUUUCAGGAGAGACUCGACCAUCUGUCUCGUCGAGCCCUGGCUCAGAAGACAAGACCGUGGCGGCGACUCAUAAGCGACGUCGGUCAUCGGAAGGUGACUUGACCGGUCCGUCUCAUCCUAGGUUUGUUUCUGAGGGAGAUGGCUCUUCGUUUGCGGCCCAAAGCGACUUAAUUUCCCUCGCUGGUCGCAUGAGGUCCGCGGGUUGUCGUCUCCCAUCUCUCACUUCCUCAGUCGAGAGGGAAGCCUAUGCCAAGGUUGUUGUGGCGAGCUCUAAGGUUCGUCCCUCGCCUUCGUUCUACUUGAAAAGCUCUUUUGUGGUAUUUGCUCAUUUCCAUUUCUUCUCAGGUGAUGGAAGCUUUUAAUGAGUACGCCGUGAUGAUGGAGGAUCAUGUUGUGGCUUCUCGGAACGAUAAGGAAAUCGAGAGUAUUUGUUCUGAGAUUAAGAGGCUUUCGGAGGAGCUCGAAACCACCAAGCAAGAAGGGAAGAAGGAUGCCAAGAAGAUCGAAGCCUUGACUGAAGACUGGAGGGGAGUUCAUCUGGAGAACGAGACUCUCACGUCCCAGAUGGUUGCUCAAAGUGAAAGAAUUGCGGCGCUCGAGGUCGAGAGAGAUCGGGACAUUCGAUGCGCUUCUCGUAUUGCUCGUCGCGAUAUUGCUGCAAAGUAUCGGGAAGUUCUCCAAUCUUUGAAGGGUAGGUGGGCGAGCAAGAAGAAGGAAGUGUCUGCUGAGAUCCGACUACAAGAAGUGACCGCCAACAUCGAUCUCCUGAACGAGCUUAAGGAUGGGGGCCUAACUGUGGAUGCGGAACUUGCACGUUUAAAGGGAAUGAAAGGAGAUUGCAAGGAUCUUGUCGCCCUAGCCGUCGUGCCGGAUUGGUCGAUCGCCGAGCUCGAUCUUCCUCAAGUCUCAGAUGAUUCUGUGGAUCAAGUCGGGGGGUCGUCUGUCCCCGAUGAUUUCGUUUCUAGUUAUUUUUUUCUGUUAUAAUAUCUUUUGGUUUUUUUACGAUCUUUGAUCGUGAUAUCUAGGUAAUCUUUUAAUGGAUAAUCAUAAUAUUUUGGAAUAUCCUUGUCUCCUUAGCUUUCGAGAUUCUUUUGUUCGGGUUGUUGAGAUAUGGCGAGGUUCUGAUCCCUAUAAAGCUUUGACUUUGUUUUAGGAUUCAUCAUAGUAUCUCAUUUAGUUUUUGUUUUUGUUCACUAAAGGAAUAUGACUUCGAGAAGAUCCAACUCUCGCGAUUUCGAUAGGGUACGAACUCGAACUGGUAGUGCCAAUGCGGAACGUAUUCGAUCCGGAGAUGUGAGUGAUGCGCUCUCAGAAGUUCUUUGUGAGGAGACCCAACUUUCACGGCCUUCAACCCAAGGGGCCAAAGACCCUGAGGGUGAAAAAUCUGUUGCCCGCGUUAAGUCGAGUAGCCCAACGGGUUCGGAGGGGCGUGAUCGUCCUCCGAAGAAGGCUAAAACAAAUGGCUCGGAUAGUCGUCUUGGUCUCUCGGGCAAAGCGGCUGUUCCUAAGCCGUUCCACUGGCAGUUCUCGCAUUCCAAGGAUUGUCCUAUUACGGAAGAUCCAGAUAGUGUUGCUCAUUUGGUGAGACACUUCAAACCUGCUGGAUGUCCGCUUCCCUCUUUGCGUAAUAUGACGGAGCGUGAGGCUUACGUAAAGAUGGCUGUGGCCCAUGCCAUGGUCGUUCCUUUUGAAAUUUGGUCCUUGUCGAAUCUUUGGUUCGUUUUGUCUGAACUGAUUUAUCAUGUUUCAGGCUAUGGAGGCUAACAACGAGUUUGCGGCAACUUUAGAAAAACGCAUGCAAGAUGUUCCGUGUUCUGGCGAACUUUAUGAAAUAAAGAAGGUCGUUCGUGAGCUAAAGCUUGGUCUGAAGAUGGCUCAAGACCGGGAGCGUGCCAAUGCUGCUCAACUGGCUGCCGCUGAAAAUCUGGAGAAUCAGGCUGCUUCGCUCGAAGCUCAUCUGCGAGUUGUGAGUAACGAAAGGAAGUCGGCCCUCGAGCAAGUUUCCUUUUUGGAAGCGAAGGUUGAAUCUUCUGCCAAUAAGUUCUCUGACGACCUUCACCGCGCGACUCGUGAGACCAAAAAGACUAUGGUGGAUAGCUAUCUGGAUGUGCUGGUCUCUCUGAAGGAGAAAUGGGAAAAGUAGAAGGCUGCAACUGAUAUUGAGGCUCGUCUUCGAGAAGUCGUGGCAAAUAUAGAUCUCUUGAAGGAGAUCAUGAGCAACAAUCCCCUAGCUUUGGAUGAGUUGUUGCGGAUUCGAGCGAAGGAGAUCGAGCUUGGGUCCGAGGUCGAUGUGAUGGCGACUUCGGAUUUCUGCGUUGGGAAGCUCGACUUGCCUCAGAUUUCGGAGGAUCUGCCGGAGGAUUUCUUCGAUAAGGUCCCUUCUGCGGCGGAUGACGUGGCAAAGUGCUCGGGUGAUCACUUUGAGGAUGGUGAAUUCAGCAUCGAAGAGUAGCUUUAGGGACUUUCUUUGUUUUUUCCUCUGCCUUUUGUUGCUUUAUUAUUUCUUUUAUUUAAUAAAGAAGGGAUCGUGGGUCCCGAUUUAUUUGUUGCCAUUUUUAUGUUUUAUGCGAGGCCGAUCUUUUGGGGCCAUGUGUCGAUUUUUUGUAGAUACUUCUAUCGACAGUUUCGAUGUAACAAAAAAUUUUGUUAGCUAGUUUUGUCGUGCUUAUUGGCGGAGUUGGUCGCGACCGAGGACUUGAUCAGGUCUUGGUUUUUGGUCAACUAUCGCAGUUAUGCGAUUUUCUGACACGAGAAGUCUGAUGUGUUCGAAUGUCUAAGAACUGUAUUUAUUAAGACGCCGGAUUCUGGCUUCCUCUGAUAGUUUCGAAUCCUUUUGAGGUUGGAAAUUUCAGGCCAUGGUGAUAUGUCGAGGGGACUGCCUUCAUGCUGUAUAGCCAAGGUCUCCCGAGGAUUGCGUUGAAUGGGGCCGGACGGUCUAUCACGAUGAAUUCUACGAUUUUUCUGAUUUCUCCAGCGGUUACCGCGAGCUCGAUCGAUCCGAGAGAAUAGGCGGUCUCUCCUUCGAAGCCGAUGAAGGGAGUUCGCUCUUGCUUUAGGAGUGCUUUAGUGAAUCCCAUUUUUUUAAACGCCUCGUAGAAGAGGACAUCGGCCGAGCUUCCGGUGUCGAUCAUUACUCGGGAUAGUUCGCAGCCACCAACGUCGAUUCGUAUCACAAGAGCCGUCGUCGUGCGGUUUUUUUUCGUUGAAGGUGAUUUCAUGAUCGGGACCUGACAAGGGCUCUCUAAUUCCUACGUUGUUUUCUGCACUCCGUUGGUAUGCUUUCAUUGAGUUGACCGAAUUGCAGAAUUUGGAGCCUCCGUAGAUGAAGUCGAUCCGUUUUUUGCCCUUGUUGUGGGCCGGAAAAUUCCACCUCUUAGUCAGUGCUGGUUGGUAGUGGCUCUGUCCCCUAGACAGAUUGCGAUUGAGAGUCUGCAUUAUGUCUUGUUUUUGAAUCGGUUUCUCCAACAGCUCGCGAGUUUUGGUCAUUUUAUUCUUUCGCUUGAAGUUGGAGAUUUUUACACUAGGAGGUUUUGUGUUUUGGUUGUAUGGAGUGACACAGGGAGGGGGAGUGACUUCGUCGGGAUUUUCCAAUGUGCGGAUUGCUACCGAGAUCUCGAAGCGGAUUUUUCCUUCGGUUUGGCUCUUGAUUUCAUCGGUUGUGUUGCUGUUCUGCCCCCAUGGUGAUUCAUGUUCGAUCUCCCUGCCUCUUUUGUUUGUUAAGGCUUUGGUCUUUCGGUUGGAUAUCAGAGUCACUGGCUCUUCUUCUUCUUCGGCUUCUUCGUUAGUAUUUUUGUUUUGACUGCGAAGUACGGCUCGACAUUCUUCGGUCGAGUGGCCCUUGCGAUCAUGGAAAGUGCAGUAUUUGCUAAGGUCAUAUGUUGAAGACUUUUGCGGCGAAUUAUUUAUUGCGUAGGAAUGUUGCCCUUUGGUGGUUGGUUCUUUAGGAGUAGAAGGUUUUUUGGUUGUGUUGUUCUUGUUCGCACUAUACUGUUCUUUCAAGGCUGCGCCUUCCUCUUCACGAGUGGCGAAAUAAGAGGCUCGGUGUAGGGCGUCGUCCAACGAGAUAUGUGCUCGUACCACCAAUUCUUCCCUGAAUUUGGAUGAGAACUAGACGCCAUUCUUUAACACUGCGAGGGCAACAACUUCGUUCGGAUGUGAGAUCUUGGCUUUAAUUUCUUGGAAUUUGUUUAUGUAUUCUCUUAAUGGCUCGAAAGGCGCUUGUUUGAGAUUCCAGAGAUCUGCUUCGGUAACUCUUGUCUCUAUGAAGACUGAGUAUUGUUUGAGGAACGCAGAUACCAGCUGGGUAAAGUUGUCGAUAGAAUUUUCUUCUAGUCCAGCGAACCACUCUAGGGCGGCUCCAGUGAGGUUCUCGGCGAAGAAACGGCAGUAUCCAGCUUCUUUUUCAUUGUCGGUGAGGUGUGCUCUUGAUAUUGCUAGACGGAAAGCUCGCACAUGGGCUUUUGGGUCUGUGUUCCCGGCGUAUUCGGGGAAUUUCAGUUUCCCAACGUGAUACAGUCUUACGCUGGCGAUUCUGUUUGUGAAUGGGGUCCUUCUCGUUUCCUCGAUGACAAUGUCGAUAUCGGGAGCGGAGCUCGUCGCCAUGUGUACGAUCACAUGUAUCCUUUUGAGCUCGGCGUCGUUCCUUUCGAUAUAAUUCUGGAAGGUUCCAGUUUCGUUCGGGAUUCCCAAGUCUUCCCUUUGGGGGUCGAUAUUGAUGGGACCGCGAAGAUCGUGUCUCCGAUCUUGUUCCGUUGGGUUAUCGAACCCUAUUUGAUUGAAGGUUCUGGUCGCGGACGGAGUUCGAUUCUCGGGGAUAGAAUGGUUUGGUGGUGAGAUUCGUGUUCUUGGCUCCCCCUGCCUCUCCGUCGAUCCGUUCUGGAAUUGGAUCGGAGUGCUUCAUGGGCGUUGGAGUCCAGUGUCGAUUUCGUCCAGUCCAGUGUAGCUUAAGCUUCGGUAGGUCAUGCCCUGCGGUGGGGGUCGUUGAGAAUUUUCUCCCACGUAGCGUCCGGAUCGGGCGCUUGGGAUCUCUGGACUGCCGAACAGUCCAGUGCUUUGGGGGUUGGACGUCGUCCUUAACGGAUCGAGGGGCGUUUGAUUUCUUUCCCGAAUAUUUGCAGCUCGAUGCUCUGUGAGCUCCCUUUCGGCUUGGUCCAGUCUAUUAGCAAUGGUUUGGUUGGCGAUCCUUUGACUAUGAAUCUCGUCGAUUAGAGUUGUCAUCAUUCCUCGGAGUUCGGUCAGUUCUCCUCGGGUUUGGGCUAGAGGAGUCGGUGAGAUCGGUCUGGAUUGGGAUCGGGUUAGGUCGUCAGAGGAUGAUCUAUCUCUGGGGCGGUUCCAAACUCGAGCUCCAGCUCGUUCUGGGAUCGUCGUCUGGUUGAUCGGAAGAGAUCGAUCUUGACUCGAAAUCCCGAUUGGAGGGAUUCGUUGCGUCAGAGCUGUUUUGGUCGCAUCAUUGGCUCCCGUUAACCCAGUUGGGGUUAUUCCAGCUCCCGAGUCAGAUCCGAUAGGAUUGAUGUCGUUGACUCCCGAUGACGUGGUUCCGGUGGUUUGGUUUGGAUCCAUAGUCGCGCUUAGGAAACUUAGAUCGGUUUCUUAGCAAAGAUGUUUUUCGUUUAUCUUCCCCACAGUCGGCGCCAAAAUGUAGAACCUAAAAUCUACACAAAGUAUUUGAUAGUGAUCGGGGUUUGAUCUAGGGAAGACAAAUGAUGUAGGCAACGAUAUCUUUAGAACACAACGAUGUUAAGUAGUUUCCAGUAGGCGAAAAUGGAUUUUAUUGAUGACUAAGAUCGAAUACAAUGAAUUGAACUAGAUCGAGUGAUACAAAUGAGAUCGGUAAAGAAAGAAUCUAAAAGUGGGAAGACAACAAGAUCGAUGUGAAUGUGUCGCUCUCUCUCUAGGGUUUUCAACGUCUCCUCUUCUGUUUCCAUUUCUCUUCCUUUAUAGUAAGCUGACUUUGAGACCUCUGUGGUAGCUCCGCGAUCUCAGCUUCUUGUUGCGCGAUUUCCGCGACCUCGACGACUCCUUCUCGAGCUUGUAUCCUUGCUAUAGGUUCCGGCCCUUUAAGGCCCAUGCCUUUGAUCGCAGCCCAUCAUGGUAUUGGCCAAAAUUGGGUCCAACAGUCCCUACUAUAUCUGUAUACACGUUAAAUGGUUUUCCGAUGUAUAACUGUAUGCGAACAAUGGGUCAAUACAGAAAGCGGAAACUGCACAUAUUAAUCGACCCCUGCAACACAUAUAACUUUCUCUAUCUUCAAAUCGCUAAAAGAUGGGGUUGCUAUCUGACGCCAAUCAAACCAGUGUCAGUUGUUUUAGCAAGUGGCGUCUUGAUUACACAGUAUAAAUGCUGUAAUUUCACAUGAACGAUGCUGGGUUAUGAGUUCAAAACCGAAAUAAGAACACUACCAUUGGGAUGUAGUGAUCUAAUACUGGGUGUGCAUUGGCUCUCCACUUUGGGAGCUAUCUUAUGGGAUUUUCUGAACCUGCGAAUGUAGUUCAAAUUUCAGGGUCUGAAACAUGUCCUCAGGGGAAGAACUCCGAACAGCUCCAAAAACAUCGCCGGAAGCAUUAAAUAAGCAAUUCUUUCAAGAACCGCAAAUUGCACUGCUUCACUCACAGGAGAUCGACAAUACCAUCAUACCUCAACAGCCACCACUGGUUCACAUACCUUAUCUUCCUGCAAAAAUUUCUUCACCAGCUAUCGACCAAAAACACUGAAGAAACAGAAGUUGGACCCUAACCUGCCACACUCAACUGCGAUGCUGCUUCAUUGCCUCUAUAACAUGGUAACUAGCAAAGUACCUGAGCUGAUUCAUGAAAAGAAGAUGGUUAACAGUUAAAAUAAAGAAGUGACAAAGGUUUUGGUACAAUGGAAAGGCUGCCCUCCUCAGCAAGCAACAUGGGAGUUUUAUCAAUAUUUCAUUGCCAAGUUUCCGUAUUUCCAUAUUUCUAUACUUGAAGACAAGUAUGAUUUGAAGGAAAGAGUAUUGUGACAGGAUAAAUCACAUAUCAUAGUUAUCGUUAUCUAAUUAUUAGUUUUCCUUAUGUUGCUUGGCUUUAUCUAUUUUUCUAAUUAAAUAUUCUCUUUGAUUUUACUAUAUAUUUUAGCCUUACAACAAGCCUUAUUCUCAAUCAAUCAAUAAACCUAUUUACCUCAAUCUUACUAAUUUGUCAAUAACCUAGAAAGAGCUCAUUCAAAAGCGACGCUUACGAACUCAGACUUUCGAGAUGAUCCUUCUACUUCAUGAUCAUCUUCUAGGUCUUUGUUUACCCAUUUUUCGAAUCCAUAGUAGAAUUUCUGGUUUUGGAUCUAUCCUAUCAAGUUUCCUGUCCAUAUUGACAAUUCCUUACCCGGUUAAAAUAUCCAAAUAUAUUCGUCCUUCCGAUUGGUUCCAUCCUCGAUUUAUCUUUGUUCAAUUAGUGAAAAUCGGUGAAAGAACGAAACGACUUUUUAAACUAUCAACAGAAAAGGAAAGCUGUUUUUUUUUUGGUAAAAUGUUAAUAUUAUACCAUUUUUGAAAUUUUUCACAAUGUUGCAAGCAACUUAUUACACGGAAACAAACAACAACAACGUAACACAAGUCGUAAAUUAAACUCAAGGAGACCGAUAAGAAGUAAAAUACAGUUGAAGGAGCGAAGGGCCGGCUGGAAGUGGCGCUGGAACUGAGAGAAUCCGGUCACGAAGUAACCUGUCGAUCGAAUGCAUGAUGAAGGUCACUCGUAGAGGAAGACACUGAAGUAAAUAUGCGGGCAUUUCUUUCUCUCCAAAUGAUGUAGAUGAUGGAUUGAAAGAGGAGCUUAAGAAGUGUCACUUGUUUGCUGCAUAGGGUACGCCUGGACGCUGCUAUCCAAGCUGCUGCUGCGUGGAGGUCAGCCGGUGGGUUAGGUAGAAUACCAGAAGCAAAACUCAGCCAAAGCUCAGAGGAUACGCUGCACUCAAAGAACAGGUGAUGGUGCGUUUCCACUGCCGAGGAACAGAGCACACACUGAUCUGUGACAUUUAGUCCCCAUCAUCGAAGUCUGUCCUUAGUAGGCAACCGUCGUAGGAGAGCCAACCAAGCCAUGAAAGUGUUCCUAGGAAUGUUUUCCUUGAACCAUAUAAUUUUACUCCAAAACACCACUGGAGCUGAAACCCUUAAGUACUCCCAGGUAGUCUUCGAAGAGAAAGAAGUCCCAAAUGUACCUCCUGCUUUUCGCCAUAGGUAACAGUCAGGACCAUUCGAAGGCAUAGGCAGAUCAAGUGAAGUAAUUUCCAUCUGAAUACUCUGAAUUUCGUUGGACCUGGCUGCAGGAAACCUCCAGGACCCAUCUACUGUUGCAUCCACCACUGAAGCAUUUCCCCUAACUCUUAAGCUGCGAGGCCCGCUUUGACCUGCAACUUCAAAUAGAGGUCCUAGUUCAGUCCAAUGAUCAUACCAGAAGCUAGCAGAUUCGCCAUUACCAACAACACAUCUCAUAAGCUCUGAGACAAUAGGUUUUAACUGCAGCAUUCUCCGAAUCGUGGGAGAGAACCGAGGGGAGUCAGGUGUCUGCCAGUAGCCAUUUCGAUGGAAGAUAAGUUUUCUCAUCCAAGAGACACAAAUUGAAGCUGGUGCGGAGAAGUAAGACCAGACUCUUUUAAGCCGAAAGACUGUCUCAAAAUCUUCCAAAUGCCUUAAGCCAAGCCCUCCCUCUUCUUUUGGCAUACAUAUGUCUGUCCAAGCCACCUGAGCUCCUCUGGCUGAUGUCGUAUCGUUCUUUCAUAGGAAAGCUUCACAAAGAGAAUCAACCUUUUAAAAUGCUUUUGGCAAUACAAAUACUGCACUCCAAAAGUUAACCACCCCGUAAAUUACUGAAGCAACAAGUCUGAUUAUCCCAGCAAAAGAUAAGUAUUUCACAGUCCAAGAAUGCAGCUUUCCUGUUAUCUUAUCAAGGAAAGGCUGAAGUGUGUUAGUCUACCCGGAUUAGAAAGGCAAGCCAAGAUAGCGAGUAGGGAAGAUACCCAGCUUGAAGCCUGAUGUAUCACUUAGCGUAGCAGCCUCAGUAUCAUUGUAACCCCCGAAGAAGAUCUCUGAUUUCGACGGGUUCAUCUCCAGUCCUGACAUAUUCUUAAAUUCCACCAUAACAUUAGAGAUUCCAGCCAAAGAGGAGUGAGACCCAUCCAAGAAGACCAGAAGGUCAUCAGCGAAGAGCAGGUGCGUAACUCUGGGAUCUUCACACUUAGGAUGAAGCUUUAUCUUGCCCUCCACAGCAGCUUUCUCAAGAAUUUUUGAUAAAGCUUCCAUUACCAUAAUAAACAUAUAUGGAGAUAUGCAAUCUCCUUGCCUCAGCCCCUUCUUUCCUUUGAAGAAGCCGGCUAGCUCUCCAUUUAUGGACAUGGAAAAUCUUGGUGAUGUUAUACACUCCUUAACCCAUUCCCGGAAAACAGGUGGAAAGUCUUGUGCCUCCAAAAGUUUCAGCAAGAAAUCCCAGCAUAUCGUAUCAAAUGCUUUCCUAAUAUCAACUUUCAGCAUCGAGCUCUUUGCGCAGGUGGCUUUUUCAUAAUUUCUUAUCAAUUCAGAAGAGAGUAGAACAUUUUCUCCCAGGCUUCUCCCCAUUAAAAACACUGAUUGGUUGGGGCUGAUACAGUGCUGGAGGAUAGGCUUUAGUCGAUUAGCAAUGAUCUUUGCUAUGACUUUAUAAGAAAUGUUGCAGCAGCUUAUCGGUCUAAACUCUCCCAGUUUGCACGCGUCCGGUGCUUUGGAAUAAGAACUAUUGCCGUGUUGUUGAGGUCCUUGAGCAGCUUUCCAUUUCUGAAAAACUCUUGGACGGCAGCGAUGAAAUCAUUCCCAACAAUUGUCCACGAUGAUCUAAGGAACUCAACUGAGUAGCCAUCUGGACCAGGGCUCUUACUAAGGGGCAUAGCAAAGACUGUCUUUGUAAUCUCCUCAUUUGUUACAUCCUUCAUCAACUCCACUUUUUGACCCUCUGAGCAUCUAAAGUCCAUCAUUUCUCUGAGCUGGUCCACUGUUGCAGGUGAACUCAGCAAUUCUGUCUCGCCCAAAAUGUCUGUGAAAUAGUCAACAGCAUGCUCCUUAAUCCCCUCAGCCGUAUUGAUCAUAUGAUCCCCCGAGUCUCUGAAGAAGUGAAUAUGGUUACUGCUGGCUCUUUGGACCACUGAUCUAUGAUAGAAAGUUGUAUCCCUGUCUCCUAAGUGGUGCCACUGAUUCCUGGACUUUUGACGAUGGAAUUUCUGUUCAGCCUUAGCGAGUACUUGUAGCUUUCCUCUUUCCUCAUGCUCCAGUCGCGCAGUCUCAGUAUCAGGAUUGGACAGAAGCUGCCGCUGGAUCAGUGCAACCUGAGAAGCCUGUUCUUUUACCCUCAGGGAGAUGCCACUAUAAUUUCUAGCAUCUAAGCUCCUUAAAGCAGGUUUGAGAAGCUUAAGAGAAUGAGCGAGCUUGAACUGCUGAAAUCCCUGAAUUGUUCCAAAGUUCCAAGCAUUUCUCACUGUCUCCAAGUAUUCCGGAUGAUCUAUUGUGUGAUGAAAAAACUUGAAGGGUUUAGGAGCCCGUCGAGAUUGAGAAGCCAUCCUCACCAAGCAAGGUGUGUGGUCUGAUUGUUCUGGUUCUAGGAACUCACAAUAAGAAUGAGGGAACAUUUGAGCCCAAUUGUGGUUGAUGAGAGCAUGGUCUAUUUUUUUCGCCACCGGAUUUGCAUCCUGAUUGUUCCACCAUGAGUACGUGAGGCCAUUAGCCUGAGCCUCAAACAAUUAUGCUUCCUGCAAUGCCAAAUUGAAGACCUCCAUCCCAGCAGUAUCAACCUCAGUAAUCAGGUGAUGAGAAUGUUAGUUGGAUCGCAAAAUCUGAUUAAAAUCACCUAAUACCGCCCAUGGAUAUCUUGAUGCAGGAGUAUCAGCAUUUAUUAAUACCAGCUCAUUCCACAAUUGCUGCCUCUCCUCAACCUGAUUAAACUCGUAGACAAAGCUAACCGUGAGAGAGAGGUUUUCAGCCAAAAUAAAGAUUCCACACGUAACGACAUGGGGCGAAGCCUGGUAUAUCGUUACUGAUACAUUUGGAUGCCAAACAACAAUAAUCCUUGUUGUAGACUGGUUAUCCGAGUUCGCAAAAUACUUCCAUCCAGCUGGAAGAACUCUUGAGAUCCGACUUGUGUGAUUGUGUUGUAUUUUUGUUUCUAGUUACGCUCCAAAAAGGGGUUUAUAUUUUCCUAUCCAGUUCUUGACUGAACUGUGGCGUGUAUCGCUGUUCAGACCUCUAGCAUUCCACGCAAAAAACAUGAUUCCAAAAAAAUUUAGGCUUUGGUAGCCUUGCGGCUACCCUUCCAGUUUGAGACCAAGAAGAACGGAUCGUUUGAUGCUGCCCUAUCAGAGUCCGAGGCAGUACCAUCAUCUACAUCAUAAACAUGAACUGUAGAGAAUCCCAAGUUCAUGUCCAAAGAGACCACCUGCUUUGGUGGACCUUCCUUUAGGCAGGUCUUAUCGCUUGCAUUUCCUUCAGAUGGUUCCUCGAGUUCUGCAUUAACAACCAAUUGGAGAUCAUCUGAUGAAUCCUUCUGCGCCAUCAUAGACUCACUUGUGCCAGUGCCAAGAGACUCUUGUGCCUCACUCGGUGGAUCACGCUGUGGGCUAGCAGGCUCUGUGUUUGCAUCUCAUGCAUCGUCUCUGCUCCUGCUAUGGUCACGCCUCCUUGCCCGAGCAGAUCUUCCAGGCCUAGAGCGCUUCUUACCCUUAGACUCACGGCUCAAGGAACGAGCUGCAGAUGGCACAUUUCUAUGUGUAGCAGGUGGAACAGUGGGCCUCCAUUCAUGGCCUACAACGGGACAGAGCUGGUGUUUGUGACCAAACUUCUUACAGCUGGAGCAUUUAUCUGGCAGCCAAGGGUACGAAACGGAGAUCUCCACUUCCUUCCCAUUGGAAAAACCUGAGACAAUCCUAUCCGGCAAAGCAGCCAGCAGAUUAACUUUAACCCAUACUUUAGCAACUUCAAACUAUUAUUUUCUCUCGGUUUCUGGUGCUAGCGAAACAGGUUUGCCAACCGCAGUGGCAAUCCUACUCAGACUUUGGUUGUUGAAUAGAAGGUAAGGAACACCCCUCAGUUAAACCGGCACCACUGCUGAUGUUAGUUGAGGCUGCUCCGGCGUGAACUCCGGUGACCAGGCUGCGACAAACAUUGGGCAUCCCUUAAUCAUCCAGACCUGACGGCUCAGCAGCGCAUCUCUCGUUCUCUCAUUUGUGACUUUCAAUAAGAAUGUUCCUUCUCCAAUCUUGUGCACAAAGAUUAUAGGACCUGCACGUGCCCAAAUCGCAUUUACGACACCAAUAAUUCUUCCCAUAGGUGGAACUUCUCCUGGAAAUCGAGCAAACACAAAUUCCUUGAAUUCCUCCUUUGCAGAAUCAAUAUUUUCAUCAGGUAUCAUCACAAAUGGGGGCCCUGACACAUGAGUAGUUGGAGUUCCCAGUUCCUGAAGCAUACAUGAUUUUUGAAUCCUUGCAAACAGCGAUGGCUCUGCAUUUCCCGAUAGAGGAGAAACAACGACAUGGCCUUCAGCCAUGCUCAAGUACUCAAAUGGAGGAUCUGGAAUAGUUUCCGCACUGGAGGAUGAACCUUCAACAGUGCACGAGGUAACAUUCUUCAAGCUCUGGCUUUCACCCAAUGAAUCGAGCUCACCAACAUGAUUAGAAGAUGGCUGCUCUCCAUGAACAUCUCCUGCAGAAGAACGCUCAGUGGUUACGGGAAGAGAAGCUGGUUUAGAAGAGGCGGCAGAAGCCCCUUUAAAGUGCCCUAGCUUAGAGGAGGCCACAAAUUUCAAGGCACCAGGCUUUUUGCGCUUCCCCAUCGCCGAGGAGAAGAAAUUUUACAGGUAAGAAGAGGGGAGACAAAGAGUUCUCGACGGUGGCGUGGUGCCGGAGCCGUCGGCGCGAGUAGGAGGAGGAAAACCCUAAUCGCCUUUUCAAUUGCCAGGAAGAGAGAGAAAAGUUAGUGUAAAUUGUUGGCCGAUCGCUCUGACCAAAUUUUUUUGUGUUAAAAGGUUAUGAUAAACCUUUAGUAGUUUUGAUAAACCUUUAGUAAGAUCUUAGCUUUUAUACCAUAUUUUAAGUUAUAUCGAACUGACUCGAUGUUAUUCAUUCACAACGUCUUUUUUCUUUAUUGGAACCUAAUGCAUCAUUAGGAAAUGAAAUACUUUUCUGAGUGACAAUUGUUCUCUUCCCAUGUCACUCUUGGUCUUUUAUCUCCUAUAUUUCGUUUUUUUAAUGAAUGUUAAAUUUAUUCACCAAAAAAGCCUUAUUACAACUUGUGCUUCCUUUUUACUUUAAAACUUAUACUCCACUACUCAAAAGAUAAGCAAAAACCUAGUUACAUUCUAGUUAGAAACCAGAAUUGCAUUAACUCCUCCAUACCUUUUGCUCCACUUUUUCGCACUAUACUGAUUAUGUUUCUAAUACCUUUCUCAAUCACUCUUUUUAGAACCGACAGGGGCAUCAUCUUUUCUCCAUGCCUUACCUUGUUCCUUUCUCUCCACAAUGCGUAUAAGACAGCCUGAAAAGCAUAUCUAAUACAUAUCAGACUCUUCUUCUCUCUUGUCCUCUCAGAGAUAAUGCGUAUGAUCCUUGACCAAUCUGUAGUAUAAGAAUUCCUCAACAACCCUUUAGCAAUGAAUUCCCAAACUUGAGCAGACAAGUUGCAUUCAAAAUAUAAGUGGUUUCUCGACUCAGGCGCAUUCUUGCAAAGAACACAGACAUCAUCACUCCCCUGGCUCCAUUUCAUCACUUUAUCCAUAGUCGACAACCUAUCUCUCACUGACAGCCACGCCAUGAAAGCAUAUUUCGGAGUCGCUUGCGGAAACCAAAUGCCUUGAGCCCAAUUACAAAAUGACUUUUUUCUCUCAACUGAUCCCAAGUUUUCUGAGUAGAGAACUCCUUCCUAUACUCCGAGUCUCUUUUCCAAAGAUAAGUAUCAGUAUUGCAUGCAUUCAGAUUAUUCUCAAUGAUACGUAGCUCCUCCUCAAUCUCAUUAAGCAUUCCUACACGGUGUCUUCUUCUUCAAACACUUAACACUGCCUCCUCCACUGUAGCAUUCUUUUUCACUCUCAUAUCAAUGAUCCCCCUAACACCCAACAAAUCAGAGAGAACCCCUUUCCCAGACCAAUUAUCAAACCAAAAAGAGGUGUAUCUUCCAUUACCCACUUCAAACUUCAAGAACAGCUUAGCCACACUUCUCAACUUCAACAUCUUAUGCCACAUCCAAGAACCCAAUUGCAUCUUUGAGUUAACUUCCCAAAAGCUUUGCCCUUUCAGCAAGUUAGCUCGGAUCCAUUUCCCCCAAAGAGACUCUCCAGUUAACAUUCUCCAUAUCAGUUUGAGACCAUAAACCUUAUUGACUUCUCUCAGAUUUCUAAUCCCCAAACCCCCUUCACUCUUAGUGCAGCAGAUAUCUUUCCAAGCAACCUUUGCAUUUGAAGAUUUAAGAGAUGGCCCCGUCCAUAAGAAAGCUGAGCAUAUUUGUUCCACUUCCUUUAUACAACUGCACGGUAACCGGAACACUGUCGCCCAAAAGUUGACUACACUAAUGAGAACAGAGUUUAUUAACUGAAUGACAAGAAUCUACACGUCUAGGAACUUAUUUUGCUUCUUAUCUUUUCCAAAAGAGGGACAUAAUCUUGCUUCUUCAUCACAUGUGUCAUUAGUGGAAGACUUAAGUAAUGAACAGGGAGCUCUCCAACUGCAAACUUAAAAUUGGACAAGAUACUUCUCUUCUCUACAUCCGAAACCCCCGCCAUAUAUAUUGUUGAUUUCUCCACACUGAUGCUCAAUCCAGACCACACCUCAAACUCUUCAAACACAGUUAACGCACCUUGUACAGACUGCUUCAAUCCUUCAACAAACACCAUUAAAUCAUUUGCAAAGCAUAGGUGUGUGAUCGAGAGAGAUUGACAACCCGGGUGAAACUUGAAUUUUCCUUCAGCCACUGCUCUAUCAAUUUUCCUUGAUAAUACAUUCAUACACAAUACGAACAGGUACGGCGAAAGAGAGCAACCCUGACGUAGUCCUCUUGAGCUUUGAAAGUACCCCGCGAGAUAACCAUUGACUUGCACCGAGAACGAAGGACUCGUUAUGCAUAAUUAUAUCCAAUGAAUGAACUUCUUAGGAAAUCCCAAGGCACUCAGACUCUUCAAUACAAACGUCCAUUGAACUCAAUCAAACGCUUUAGAUAUAUCAAUUUUCAUAACACACCUUGGGGCAAUUGUGUCCUUAUGAUAAUCCUUGACGAGUUCUGAAGCUAGAAGAACAUUCUCCAUGAGCAAACAACCUUUAACAAACGCUGACUGGUUUUCUAUUAUGAUCUGAGGAAGCAAUCUCUUUAGGAACGCUCAGUGGUUACGGGAAGAGAAGCUGGUUUAGAAGAGGCGGCAGAAGCCCCUUUAAAGUGCCCUAGCUUAGAGGAGGCCACAAAUUUCAAGGCACCAGGCUUUUUGCGCUUCCCCAUCGCCGAGGAGAAGAAAUUUUACAGGUAAGAAGAGGGGAGACAAAGAGUUCUCGACGGUGGCGUGGUGCCGGAGCCGUCGGCGCGAGUAGGAGGAGGAAAACCCUAAUCGCCUUUUCAAUUGCCAGGAAGAGAGAGAAAAGUUAGUGUAAAUUGUUGGCCGAUCGCUCUGACCAAAUUUUUUUGUGUUAAAAGGUUAUGAUAAACCUUUAGUAGUUUUGAUAAACCUUUAGUAAGAUCUUAGCUUUUAUACCAUAUUUUAAGUUAUAUCGAACUGACUCGAUGUUAUUCAUUCACAACGUCUUUUUUCUUUAUUGGAACCUAAUGCAUCAUUAGGAAAUGAAAUACUUUUCUGAGUGACAAUUGUUCUCUUCCCAUGUCACUCUUGGUCUUUUAUCUCCUAUAUUUCGUUUUUUUAAUGAAUGUUAAAUUUAUUCACCAAAAAAGCCUUAUUACAACUUGUGCUUCCUUUUUACUUUAAAACUUAUACUCCACUACUCAAAAGAUAAGCAAAAACCUAGUUACAUUCUAGUUAGAAACCAGAAUUGCAUUAACUCCUCCAUACCUUUUGCUCCACUUUUUCGCACUAUACUGAUUAUGUUUCUAAUACCUUUCUCAAUCACUCUUUUUAGAACCGACAGGGGCAUCAUCUUUUCUCCAUGCCUUACCUUGUUCCUUUCUCUCCACAAUGCGUAUAAGACAGCCUGAAAAGCAUAUCUAAUACAUAUCAGACUCUUCUUCUCUCUUGUCCUCUCAGAGAUAAUGCGUAUGAUCCUUGACCAAUCUGUAGUAUAAGAAUUCCUCAACAACCCUUUAGCAAUGAAUUCCCAAACUUGAGCAGACAAGUUGCAUUCAAAAUAUAAGUGGUUUCUCGACUCAGGCGCAUUCUUGCAAAGAACACAGACAUCAUCACUCCCCUGGCUCCAUUUCAUCACUUUAUCCAUAGUCGACAACCUAUCUCUCACUGACAGCCACGCCAUGAAAGCAUAUUUCGGAGUCGCUUGCGGAAACCAAAUGCCUUGAGCCCAAUUACAAAAUGACUUUUUUCUCUCAACUGAUCCCAAGUUUUCUGAGUAGAGAACUCCUUCCUAUACUCCGAGUCUCUUUUCCAAAGAUAAGUAUCAGUAUUGCAUGCAUUCAGAUUAUUCUCAAUGAUACGUAGCUCCUCCUCAAUCUCAUUAAGCAUUCCUACACGGUGUCUUCUUCUUCAAACACUUAACACUGCCUCCUCCACUGUAGCAUUCUUUUUCACUCUCAUAUCAAUGAUCCCCCUAACACCCAACAAAUCAGAGAGAACCCCUUUCCCAGACCAAUUAUCAAACCAAAAAGAGGUGUAUCUUCCAUUACCCACUUCAAACUUCAAGAACAGCUUAGCCACACUUCUCAACUUCAACAUCUUAUGCCACAUCCAAGAACCCAAUUGCAUCUUUGAGUUAACUUCCCAAAAGCUUUGCCCUUUCAGCAAGUUAGCUCGGAUCCAUUUCCCCCAAAGAGACUCUCCAGUUAACAUUCUCCAUAUCAGUUUGAGACCAUAAACCUUAUUGACUUCUCUCAGAUUUCUGAUCCCCAAACCCCCUUCACUCUUAGUGCAGCAGAUAUCUUUCCAAGCAACCUUUGCAUUUGAAGAUUUAAGAGAUGGCCCCGUCCAUAAGAAAGCUGAGCAUAUUUGUUCCACUUCCUUUAUACAACUGCACGGUAAACGGAACACUGUCGCCCAAAAGUUGACUACACUAAUGAGAACAGAGUUUAUUAACUGAAUGACAAGAAUCUACACGUCUAGGAACUUAUUUUGCUUCUUAUCUUUUCCAAAAGAGGGACAUAAUCUUGCUUCUUCAUCACAUGUGUCAUUAGUGGAAGACUUAAGUAAUGAACAGGGAGCUCUCCAACUGCAAACUUAAAAUUGGACAAGAUACUUCUCUUCUCUACAUCCGAAACCCCCGCCAUAUAUAUUGUUGAUUUCUCCACACUGAUGCUCAAUCCAGACCACACCUCAAACUCUUCAAACACAGUUAACGCACCUUGUACAGACUGCUUCAAUCCUUCAACAAACACCAUUAAAUCAUUUGCAAAGCAUAGGUGUGUGAUCGAGAGAGAUUGACAACCCGGGUGAAACUUGAAUUUUCCUUCAGCCACUGCUCUAUCAAUUUUCCUUGAUAAUACAUUCAUACACAAUACGAACAGGUACGGCGAAAGAGAGCAACCCUGACGUAGUCCUCUUGAGCUUUGAAAGUACCCCGCGAGAUAACCAUUGACUUGCACCGAGAACGAAGGACUCGUUAUGCAUAAUUAUAUCCAAUGAAUGAACUUCUUAGGAAAUCCCAAGGCACUCAGACUCUUCAAUACAAACGUCCAUUGAACUCAAUCAAACGCUUUAGAUAUAUCAAUUUUCAUAACACACCUUGGGGCAAUUGUGUCCUUAUGAUAAUCCUUGACGAGUUCUGAAGCUAGAAGAACAUUCUCCAUGAGCAAACAACCUUUAACAAACGCUGACUGGUUUUCUAUUAUGAUCUGAGGAAGCAAUCUCUUUAGCCUAUUAGCCACAAUUUUAGAGACCACCUUAUAAUGGACGUUGCAGCAUGCAAUCGGCCUGUAGUCUCUCAUCUCUAGAGAGUCCAGCUUCUUUGGGACUAAAGCCAAGAUUGUGGAAUUCACCCCCUUAGGAAGAAAACCAAAUCAAAAUACAGACUGCACCGCGAUAGUAAAAUCUUGAGCUAGUACUGACCAAGUAGUCUUGAAGAACUUAGCAGGAUAACCGUCUGGCCCAGGAGAUUUGUUAUUUGGCAUAGCAAAUAGGACUUUACGCACUUCCUCUGCAGUAACUUCCUCCUCCAAGAGACGACAAUCUUCAUCAGAGCAACUGAAAUCAAGUAAGCUCCGCAACUCCUCCUUGUUAGUGCCUUGGAAAUUCUCAGGAAUACGAUUGAGAAAUUCUGAGAAAAAACUCUCUGCCUCCUGCUUAAUCUCCAGAUGUGAAUUUACUAAGUCCCCAUUCACACAUCUGAUUUCUCGAAUCAUAUUCUGAGCUUCCCUUGAUGUAAUAGCUCUGUGGUAAGUCUUAUUGUUUUGGUCUCCAAUAUCCAGCCAAUGAAGCUUUGCUUUCUGCUUCAAAAAAUCCUCCUCUAAACUAGCUACAUGUAGCCAUCUUCCAUAAGCUUCAGCUUCAUCUUGGAUUGCUUCCUCGCUCGGGUUUGCUAGAGUAAAAUUAUGCUUUAUGCAGAGAGAAUCGAAAGCUUCUUUUGCUCUUUUUGAAAUAUUCCCCAUCUUUUCCCUGCCCAUCUCUCUAAUUAACAGCUUCAAGUUCUUCAGUUUUUUCGAAAACCUGAACAUAGCUGAGGUGGAGUGAAAUAAACUCUCUGUUGCAUCCCAGUAAUCUUUCACCAUAGGCAGAAACGAGGGUAGACUCCCCAAAGCAUUUACAUACUUAAAAGGUCUUUUGAUUCUCACACGAGGAGGAAACGACUGCACUUUGCACCUCAUGUGAUCAGAACAACCACCAGAUUCAAAAACUGAAUAAGCAUUGCUAAAUCUGAGAAGAGCUUCUUCAUUGAGCAGUACUCUAUCUAACUUGUUGCAGAUAAUGCCUUCCUCCCUCUUAUUACACCAAGUAUACCUAGGCCCCUGAUAAGCCAUAUCUGCGAGACGACAUCGAAGUACCAGUGCCUUAAAAUCCCUCAUACCACUAGACAUUCUUCCACCAUUAUCAAAACUCGAACUCUCAUCACCUUCCAGUAUCUCAUUAAAAUCUCCUAAAACCAUCCAAGCUUUAUUUUUGAAACUCGGAGAUUCAUGUUGAUGAAUCAGAUCCUCCCAUAACACUUUCCUCUCUUCCACCUGAUUACUAGCAUAGAUACUCAUACAAAAAAAACCCUCCUCAUCUUCCAUCUCCACUCUUACAGUCACCAAUUGAUCCGUCUUAUACACUGGUGUUAUUCGAACUGAAUCUCUCCAUAAAAACCAUAUUAUGCCUCCUCUACUAUCUUCAUAGUUAGUAAUAGAAGACCAAUCCCUGAACACAUUAUUUAAAAUCUUCCCUGCCUUUCUCUCCUUCACUCUUGUUUCCAAAAUACAACCAAACUUGAUCUCUCUAUUAUUUAUCCACUCUGCUACCACGGAAUGCUUCAACACUUAAAACAGAGAACUUUGAUGCCGAGAUAACAGCAACUACCUCCCUGCUUGGUGUUUUUGAUGUAGUUCUUCCCACUUUAUCUGGUGACACCAAAGCCCAGACAUUAUCCUUAGCCGACUCGCUGCCUUGACCAUCCGCAGCCUCCUUUUGUUUUGACACCUCACUGCUCUUUGUCACAUACAUACCAACUUCCCGAGUAUGAUUCUCAAUACUAUGAUCAGCCCCUCCUUUAUUACGAUCCCCUCCGGAAUUACUGCCAACAAUUGUUUUCCCAUACACACCAUUUCCUUCAUUCAACCCCCCUUGUUUCUUCUCUUUCUUCUUCAUUACACAGACCUUAUCAUUGUGACCCCAUUUCUCACAGAUAUUACAUCUAGAUAAGGAUAGCAGAACUCAGCAGUAAUCUCUUUCCCAUCAAUUGCAAAAUCAAUCUUUGGUAGCGUUUUUGUAACAUCGACAUUCACAAAAAUCUUUGCCUCCUCAAAGCUUGAACAUGCAAUCGUUUAUGGAUGAAGAUGUACUGGAUAUCCAACCGUACUCGUCAUGAAGCUCAGAGCCUCCCAAGAGAACAUGUGCAGUGGCACCUUCCUCAAGUUAACCCACAUCGGACUAGCUUCUUCCGCCUGCUUUUCCUCUUCCGUCUUAGGAGACCAUUUUUUAACGAUCAUAGGAAUUCCGGCAAUGUUCCACAUCCCUCUUUUAAUAACCUUCUCCCGAGCUUUCUGAUUUUUUAUCUUAAACCUCAUCGUCGUAGCAUUGACAUCAUACACCUCCACUUUAGAUGACAAAUCACCAUAGCUCCAGAUCUUGUUCACCACCAUGUGCACCUUAGCGAUAUGAGGCGCAAUAUCCAGAAACUUUCCUACAAUGAAAUCCUCCCACAACGGAGUAGCAUCGGAGAGAAUCUCAACAGGAAUCACCACUUUGUGCUUACCAUCAAUCGAUUUCACCUCAACUGCGUAUUUCUUUAGGCUUCGUUUAUCCUGCGCCACUUCUACCCAUUUUGAAUCUCUUUAUAUCUGAUCUUCUUUCGAUCUCUUCACUUCUCCCAAUCCCUCAUCCUACUCUCUGGCGAACCAGAUGAGCCCGGCGGUGACGCCAAAAUCAUCAGAAACCCUCGACACGAAUCGCAGUCAGAAUCGCCAAUAAAAUCGCCGUUAGCACAACGCAGCGUUUUUUUUCGGCCUUUCUCAUCCCCUAUAUUUCUCGUUACAAACUUCAGGGCAUACCAACCCUCAAAAUUAUAAGGAGAACGCUGAACGCACACUCCCAAUAAUAACACUGUUUGAGACGUUCGUUCGAUUGUUAUUCAAAUAAUACAAGUUGGUAUCAUACAUAUACAGAGUAAAACGUAGAUAUGUCAUAUCUCACAAUAACAAAAGCACAACUCAAAAAAAAAACUCUUGGUAAGCUAACCACAGAAAUUUUAUAUCCAGCAAAAGGCAAAUGAAAUCCUUAGUAGUUGAUUAUGGUUGACUUGUGUGUUUAGCGGGCACCACAUUAAUCUUCAGGUCUAGUAACAUAAUCACACAGGUUUUAGGUUUCUCAAGGUCUCCAUGGUGCUGGUGGAGGCGGGGGAGUAGGGAACAAUGGAGGAACCGCUGAGAAUAUAGUGUUUUUGUCUAUAGUACCAGAUGCCUCCUCUUCACCCGACAAUGCUACGAGAGCUGCGACCAGACCAGCAUUUCCUGCAAGAGUCGGUUCAGUGUAGUUGUAGUUAGUCCGUACAUCGCGGAAACCAUCGCGCUUGUCAGGACCAGCAACCAUGGCUCCUUCAAUCGUGUUUGGGUUCGGUUUCUUGCUGUCUCUCCAUUUCCAUCCUCCUUUGCAGUUGUAUUUCACUUUGUUUUUGGGAAUCGAAGCUCCUCUGUGAUGCACGUGUUUCGGGUAUUUUGGGCCAAAACCCACGAGAUAGCUCAUUUUGCGAGGGUUUUUACCGAGUAUGUAAUCAAUCUGCAGUAACACAGGUAGGCUGAGUUAAGCUCAAAUCUGAUUUUUACCACGAAAAAUAAAUCAUCAAAUCUAAGAUCUGCAUUAAUGACUACAUCAACUGUGUCUACGAUUUCCUUUACGAUCAAAUCUAAAAUUUUAGUACUCGAAAGUAAUUAUGUAAACCAAUGUGUCAACAACUCGACAAAAGCAGUGUUGAUAAUAGUUUUUCAAGUGAUAAACAUGAUAUUUCCCAUUACUAGUGUAUCAGAGAAUUACAUUUGUAUAGAGAGAGAGAGACGCAAUACCUGAGAUCUCGAAAAAUCUCGUAGGACACUGGUUGAAUAGAAAUUAGGUCCACAGUACCAUCCAGGAGUAUCAGCAGCAUCCAGAUAAUCGCUGUACAACGUAGCUAAGAAAGCUGCAUUUGCAGCAUACUGGAGGGGCUGUGGAUCUCCAUGAUUCAACUCUAUCAAACCUCCUGCACAUAUAACCAGAAAAUUUACAUUUGUUUAAUAUCCAGAUCAAGAACUGGUUCAACAUUCAAAGCUGCCUUAAAGCCAAAGACUAGCAUAUACAUAUAUAUAUAUAACUCACCCCUGGUUCUGUUAAAUUUGUUGAAAUACGGCAAGUAUGAGCACAUGACUAUGCUUGUCUGAUUAUGGAAUGUUCUUAGAAUUUCUUCAUAUGGGUAUCCAGGACUCAAAAACAACCUUAACCGGCUCAGCAGCAACUGAAAAGUACAGGGUGUUUACAAGCGCUAAAGAGGAGAUCAACAACAUAACGGAAACAUAAACACAAUAAGUUGAUUUGUGGGCUGACCUGAGCACCAGCAAGCUUGUUGUCCCAGCUAAAUACACCAUAGUAAGGCCCACCCCAGAAGGCACCCGCAUGCUUAGCCAUAGUUGGCUUUGUGAUUAGAUCGAGAUAAGUUACGUUUCCUGUGGCAUAGUAUAACCAAGCACCACCCCAAAUAAACUCAUCCCAAUACAUGCUUGAAUUGUAAAACUUGGCCGACUCCGCAGUGCCUGCACUGUAUCUGCCUCUCCGAGUUCUUCCAAACUGAUACACAGUCUUAGCACCAUGUACGAGCUUCUUAGAAUACUCUCUGUUGUCUUUGAACACAAUGGAUGCUGAAGCGAGAGCAGCUGCCAUCUCUGCAGCGAGAUCCGAACAUCCACCAUUACAGGUAGUCACAGGCCUUUUGUAGUCCAUGUCUUCAGGUCGCAUCCAGCAGUAAUGGUCAUUAGGAUCCGUACUUCCGUCGUCAGUGUUUCCAGCUCCGACCUUAGAGUUUAAAUAAGGAAACAAAACAAAACAACUCAAAAGAAAGCUAAAGAUAUUAUCCUAGCCUAGGAAAGGAAGUUUUACCUGUGAAACAAGAUCAUCGAUGGAAUCAGCAGUACUGUUAAAGGUCUUGAGAAAGUAAUCAGUUCCCCAUUUAAUGAGCUCCCUAACAUGGGCAAGCUCUCCUGCAGCUUCGUAUUUAGCACUGUAUUCAAUGACACUCCAGCUCAACAUGGUCAUAGCAUAAGCCAUGGGGAAAUUGAACUUGAUAGUAUCUCCAGCAUCGUAAUAGCCUCCAACCAAAUCUUUAUAGAAGCUUCCUGAAUCACCUUUCCCAUCUUGAAGACCAGAACUACCUCUCCAUGACACGUUAUUGUGCCUCGGCAACUUUCCAGCUGCAGAUUGAAAAAAUAAUUAAUCAGACUAUCAUUUCCUUAAGAUUUUUACACAUCAGAGCUACUACUAGGACUUACAUUUCUGAGCAUUGAAAAACUUGAGGGCUUUGUGAAGAGCGAUUGUGUAAUUAUCCGGCGCUGGAUUCUUGUGGUGGUGACGCGGCACAGUUUUGAUGAUCAAGGUUAUGAAUCCGGCGAGUAAAGCGGCGGCGACAACUAUACCGACGGUCCAGACGAAGAUCUUGCGGCUGACGAUUAUACAGCCGAGAUCGACGAACUUCUUCUUCUUCUGCUCAGUCGGACCAAGAAGCCAGCUCUGCUGCGUUUCGUCGAGUGGCCGAGAAAGAGCCGCGCGGUCGACAUCAUUCAGAUUCCGGCUACGAUCGUCGUCGGUGGCGGAAUCCGUGGCGUUGAUCUCCAGUGGACCUCCCCAGGGAUCUCGGCCGUACAUGGUUUAGAAGAGAAGAAGAAGAUCAGAUCUAAGAGUGUGAAUGAGGUUUGUUUUUGUACUUUGAGAGGAGGAGGAAAUGUGAGCUAAGCUAGUCAAUAAUAAUGGACUAAUUUGCUUUGUGGUUUCGAUUCUUUUUCUCACUUCCAUUAUUAUUUUAUUAUUAUUAUUUUGGCUGUCGGUUUAUAUCUUCAUCAUGUUACGUUACAGCUGCACUGAACCAUGAUUGAGCUUUCUUGCCAACUCGUAUAAUUUGGUAAUUAAAUUAAAUUUGUGAAAGAUAACUUGAUGACAGGAAAAAGCAAAAUUUGAGUGUUAAUGACAACCAAAGCAUAUUCUAUGUAAUUUAUCAGAAAACUACAUUUCUCAUUUAUGAUUCUCAACUAUAGUUUCCGUUUAAUUAAUUACAUACUAGGAUAAUAACUGCGCAAGCGCAGGGUGAGUUUAUUUCUAUAUAUUAUCGAUAAUUUUUUUUAUAUAUUUGAUCAUUUUAUUUAUAUAAUAUACAAUAUUUUUUGUUGUUAUUAUAUAAUUUCUUUCCGAUAGAUCAAAUCAAUUUUUAUUAAAAAUGAUGGAACAAAACUAUAAUUAAUACAUCAUGGGUUGAUCGGAUUGGACAUUAAACAAAUUAUGACAUAAAAACCUUAUUUUUUCCAUCGAACACAUUUUUGAGAAAAGUAAACAGUGUUGUUUUCACAGUUGAAUUAUUUUGACUUUUAUCUUCCAUAUGGUUUUGAAAGCUUUCAAAUCAACCAUCGAAUUGAUACAUGUCAUUUUAAUGUUUUUAGUCGUAUACUUAAGGAAAACUUACAUUUUUGUAAUUUAAAGUCGUUUUAAAAAAAUUCAAAAUAUAACAUAUAAGAAAAAGUCUAACAUAUAAGAAAAAUAUAACAUAUAAAGUGUCCUCAUUUUUGUAUUUUAAAGUCGUUUUAAGAAAAAAAUAACAUAUAAGACUUCCUCAUUUUUGUAAUUUAAUGUCAUUUUAAAAAAUUCUAAAUAUAACAUAUAAGAAAAAUCUAAUUUUUUUAUUAUAUGGUUAAUGUGAUUUUUAUUUUUUUAAUAAUAUUAAAUUAAACAAAAUGAAGAAAGAUGCGAAAAUUGUUAUCAAAUCUUUAUUAUUCAUAAUCAUUAAUUACCAUAUAUAUGUAAAUCAUAUUAGGCAAUUUCCUAGCUUUUAUUUAGGAAAAAAAUACACACUUCUUAUAUUUUAGGUUAAUAUAAUGUUCUCUAGUGGACAUUAAGCAAAUUAUGACAUAAAAACCUUAUUUUUUUCCUCGAACACAUUCUUGAAAAAGUGAACAGUAUUAUUUUCACAGUUAAAUUAUUUUGACUUUUAUCUUACAUAUGGUUUUGAAAGCUUUCAAAUCAGCCAUCGAACAUAUACAUGUCAUUUUAAUGUGUUUAGUCGUAUACUUAAGAAAAACUUACAUUUUUGUAAUUUAAAGUCGUUUUAAAAAAAUCAAAAUAUAACAUAUAAGAAAAAAUCUAACAUAUAAGAAAAAUAUAACAUAUAAGGUGUCCUCAUUUUUGUAUUUUAAAGUCUUUUUUAAAAAAAAUAUAACAUAUAAGGUUUCCUCAUUUUUUUAAAUUUAAUGUCAUUUUAAAAAAUUCCAAAUAUAACAUAUAAGAAAAAAUCUAAUUUUUUUUAUUAUAUGGUUAAUGUGAUUGUUUAUUUUUUUAAUAAUAUAAAAUUAAACAAAAUGAAGAAGGAUGCAAAAAUUGUUAUCAAAUCUUUAUUAUUCAUAAUCAUUAAUUGUCAUAUAUAUGUAAAUCAUAUUAGGUAAUUCCGUAGCUUUUAUUUAAGGAAAGAAUACACAUUUCUUAUAUUUUAGGUUAAUAUAAUGUUCUCUAGUGUUAUAUAAUUAUGAAAUAAUGUGACACCAUUAGAUUAAACUAUAUUUUAUAUUAGAUGUUCUAGAAUUCUUUGUAAUUGAAUUUAGAAGACAUUUAGAGUGCCACCUAGGAUUUGAGAUUUUUUUUAAUUAAUACAAAAUUAAAGUUUUAAUUUUUCAAAUGCUUCUCAAUUAAUAUAUAGGGGAUACAUAUACAAGUUUAAUAUUCAUCUUGUAAUGUAACGGUUAAACGAGAUGGUGAAAUCAUCAAAAUUCAAAGGUUUUCAAAUAAUAAUCCACAAUAUGUUGUUGUUCUUUUAUGAUUCCCUGUUUUAAAUAUGUCACUGAGUGCAGUAAUCACAUUUGGCAAAUAUCACGUAGUUAAUACUAUUUGUUCCGCCAUUGAACAAAAAUUAAUAUACAUAUUUUAUUCACCGUUUUAAGAAAUAUAUUUAAGUGUAAUAUACUUUGUUUACUAUUACUAACAAAGCAAUUGGCUAAAUGUUGGGUGAACGACAAAGACAUAUCCCCUAACUCUAUACUAUACAUUGUCGGUGGGGUGUAUCAGCAUAUUUUUUUUUUUUUUCAACCAUGUAUCAGCAUAUUUAAUAGUAGUAUUUAUUUUAUCUCAGAGAAUUGUGGUGUUUACCAAGUCAUCAUUUUGGUGGCCGUUUUUUUUUUCAUAUUAAUUUUCCUUGCAGUAGCAACUCUAAUUGAACGCUAAAACAUUAAAUCUGAUGUAAUUUUAUUUCGAAAAAAACCAAAAAUGAUAUUUUCCUACCAAAUUUGGUGUGAUAUUGUUUAUCACAUCAAAUAUUUAUUAUACAUAUUUUAUUAUUUUUCAUUUAAUAAUAUAGUUCAACUAUUAUGAUUAACUAGUUCAAAUUUGUAACUAAACAUAAAUAUAUUAUAUUAAUUAUAUUUUAAAAUUAUUUUUACAUAGUUAAAAUAUUGGAAAAAUUACAUAUUUACCACUUUCAUGCUACCACUUUUCAUUUUUACCACCACUAGAAUGACAUUUUCAAAAAUACAUUCUUCAUUAAGUGUUAAAAAAUUCUUAUGCCUAUAUUCUUUACAUAUAUAAUAAAUAAAUAUUUAAAUAAUUAAAAAUAUAAAAAAAUAAAAAAUAAUUUGUUUUAAUUUUUUUCUGAAUUAUACUAUUUCGAAAUUUAAACCCUAAACCUUAAAACUCAACUCUAAACCCUAAACUAUCAAUCUUAAACUUUUUUUUUUUGAAAUACGAACCCUAAACCCUAAACCAUAAAUCCUAAACACUAUUUUUUUUUAAAUAAACCCUAAACCCUGAAACAUCAACUCUAAACCAUAAACCCCGAAACAUGAACUCUAAACCCUAAACAUUCAACUCUAAACCCUAAAACAUCAACUCUAAACCCUAAAUCCCAAACUUCAACUUUAAACCCUAAACCAUCAGCACUAAACCCUAAACUAUCAACACUAAACCCUAAACCAUAAAAAUUAAACUCUAAACCCUAAACCCUAAAAAAUUAACCCCAACUCUAAACCCUAAACCUUAAACUUUCAACUCUAAACCCUAAACCCUAAACCCUAAAACCCUAGAGUUGAUGUUUUAGGGUUUAGAUUUGAAGAUUUAGGGUUUAGGGUUUACGUUUAGGGUUUAGAGUUGAUGUUUAAGGGUUUAGAUUUGAAGGUUUAGGGUUUAGGGUUUAGGGUUCGAAUUUCAGAAAAAUAUAAGGUUUAGGGUUUAGUGUUUAAGUUUAGGGUUUAGAGUUGAUGUUUUAGGGUUUUGAUUUGAAGGUUUGGGAUUUAGAGUUGAUGUUUCGGGGUUUAGGGUUUAGAGUUGAUGUUUCAUGGUUUAGAGUUUAGAGUUGAUGAUUUAGGGUUUAAAGUUGAUAUUUUAAGUUUAGAUUUAGGGUUUAGGGUUUUUGUUUAGGGUUUAGAGUUGAUGUUUUAGGGUUUAGAUUGUAAGUUUUAGGGUUUAGAGUUCAUGUUUCCGGGUUUAGGAUUUAGAGUUAAUGAUUUAGGGUUUAGAGUUGAUGUUUUAAGUUUAGAUUAGUUAACCAUAUGUUUUUUUUUUGUCAAAGGUAAUCAAAAGAUUAUAAAAGUAUUUUACCCUUCAUUAAAGAUGAGGGUAAAGUCGUUAGUGUAAACAUGAAAAGUGGUAUUUUGAAAAUGGUAUUUUUGCCAAUUUCCCUAAAAUAUUUAUUAUUUUAUUUUAAAGUAAGAAAUCACUCGAUGACUAUUUUCAUUUAUUUUAUAUUGUAAAAGAGUAUCAUAGAACUUUUAUAUUUUAUUUUUAAUAAUAAAAAAAUAAUUAAUAUUUUAUAAAUUAUAUAAAUUAAUAAUAUAAUCCGGAUAAGAUUAAAAUGCAUAUUUUAGUGAAUAGUGUAAUACCAAAUUUAGUGUGAUAUUGUUUAUCACAUCAAAUAUUUAAUAUAUAUAUUUUUUUUAUUUUUCAUUUAAUAAUAUAGUUCAACUAUUAUUAUUAACUAGUUCAAAUUUGUAACUAAACAUAAAUAUAUUAUAUUAAUUAUAUUUUAAAAUUAUUUUUACAUAGUUAAAAUAUUUAUUAUUUUAUUUUCAAGUAAGAAAUCACUCGAUGACUAUUAUCAUUUAUUUUAUAUUGUAAAAGAAUAUCAUAGAACUUUUAUAUUUUAUUUUUAAUAAUAAAAAAAUUAAUUAAUAUUUUAUAAAUUAUAUAAAUUUAUAAUAUAAUCUGGAUAAGAUUGACACUAAAAAAAUAAAAAGUAUAAUAUUGUUAAAACGAAAAAUAUAAAUGUAAAUAAAUUUUAUAAACAUAAAUUACAAAAAAUUAACUAACAUAAUAUUUAAGUGUAAUAAAAUAAUUAUUUAUCAAUAAUAUAUAAUAAAAAUAUAAAAUUAUUAAAACUUAAAGCAUUAAAGAAUAUAUAAUAGAUAAAAUAACUAGGAUAGCACCAAAAAAGUUUUUGUCACAAAUAUAGCUUAUAAGAAUAAAAAUGACCAAAACAACAUUUAAUAUUUUAUCAAAAGAGAUAAAUAUACACUUAUACCCCAAUGGUAAAUUAAUUUAAACAUUAGGGUUUAGAGUUAAGGGGUGGGGUUUCGGAUUUAGGGUUUAUGGUUUAGGAUUUAGGGUUUACGGUUUAGAGUUUAGGGGUGGGGUUUAGGGUUUAGGGUUUAGAGUUAAGGGGUGGGGUUUAGGAUUUAGGGUUUAGGAUUUAGGGUUUAGGGUUUAGGGGUUAGAGUUUAGGGGUGGGUUUAGGGUUUAGGGUUUAGAGUUAAGGGAUGGGGUUUAGGAUUUAGGAUUUAAGGUUUAGAGUUUAGAGUUUAGGAUUUAGAGUUUAGGUUUUAGGGUUUAGAGUUGGAGAGUGGAGUUUUGGGAUAAGAUUUCAAAUUUUGAAAAAUAAAAUAAAAUUAAAUUUUUCAAAAGAUACAAUGCUAUUUUUGGUCAUUUUAGUUUUUGAAAGCUAUUUUUGUGACAUAAACUUAGAAAUGUGCUAUUUUUGAGAUUUGUCCUAUAUAAUAUUACUUUUGGUGUGUAAUAUUUAGUGUUAUGGUUCGAGAAGACAAAAAAAAGUUUGACAUCAAAACACUAAAUUUGAUGUAAUUUCUAACACCAAAUUUGGUGU
rnacentral:lncRNA from 1 species